UAGUCCACGCCCUAAACGAUGUCUACUAGUUGUCGGGUUUUCAUUAACUUGGUAACGCAGCUAACGCGUGAAGUAGACCGCCUGGGGAGUACGGCCGCAAGGUUAAAACUCAAACGAAUUGACGGGGACCCGCACAAGCGGUGGAUGAUGUGGAUUAAUUCGAUGCAACGCGAAAACCUUACCUACACUUGACAUGUCAGGAACUUUCCAGAGAUGGAUUGGUGCUCGAAAGAGAACCUGAACACAGGUGCUGCAUGGCUGUCGUCAGCUCGUGUCGUGAGAUGUUGGGUUAAGUCCCGCAACGAGCGCAACCCUUAUCCUUAGUUGCUACGCAAGGGCACUCUAAGGAGACUGCCGGUGACAAACCGGAGGAAGGUGGGGAUGACGUCAAGUCCUCAUGGGCCCUUAUGUGUAGGGGCUUCACACGUCAUACAAUGGUCGGGUACAGAGGGGCAGCGAACCCGCGAGGGGGGCUAAGUCUCACAAAACCGGGUCGUAGUCCGGGAUCGCAGGUCUGCAACUCG
rnacentral:rRNA from 1 species